GAUGAACGCUGGCGGUGUGCCUAAUACAUGCAAGUCGAGCGAACAGACGAGGAGCUUACUCCUCUGACGUUAGCGGCGGACGGGUGAGUAACACGUGGAUAACCUACCUAUAAGACUGGGAUAACUUCGGGAAACCGGAGCUAAUACCGGAUAACAUGUUGAACCGCAUGGUUCAACAGUGAAAGACGGUCUUGCUGUCACUUAUAGAUGGAUCCGCGUCGCAUUAGCUAGUUGGUAAGGUAACGGCUUACCAAGGCAACGAUGCGUAGCCGACCUGAGAGGGGGAUCGGCCACACGGGAAAUGAGACACGGUCCAGACUCCUACGGGAGGCAGCAGUAGGGAAUCUUCCGCAAGGGGCGAAAGCCUGACGGAGCAACGCCGCGGGAGUGAAGAAGGUCUUCGGAUCGUAAAACUCUGUUAUUAGGGAAGAACAAAUGUGUAAGUAACUAUGCACGUCUGGACGGUACCAAAGCAGAAAGCCAGGGCGAACUACGG
rnacentral:rRNA from 1 species